rnacentral:rRNA from 1 species
UACGGAGGGGGCAAGCGUUGUUCGGAAUUACUGGGCGUAAAGCGCGCGUAGGCGGCGAUGCAAGUCAGAGGUGAAAUGCCCGGGCUCAACCUGGGAGGUGCCUUUGAUACUGUGUUUGCUUGGAUCAGGAGAGGUGAGCGGAAUUCCGAGUGUAGAGGUGAAAUUCGUAGAUAUUCGGAAGAACACCAGUGGCGAAGGCGGCACUCUGGACCAAUACUGACACUGAGGUGCGAAAGCGUGGGGAGCAAACAGGAUUAGAUACCCCGGUAGUCC